rnacentral:rRNA from 1 species
UGAGUUUGAUCCUGGCUCAGAUUGAACGCUGGCGGCAGGCUUAACACAUGCAAGUCGAGCGGAGAGAGGUAGCUUGCUACUGAUCUUAGCGGCGGACGGGUGAGUAAUGCUUAGGAAUCUGCCUAUUAGUGGGGGACAACAUUUCGAAAGGAAUGCUAAUACCGCAUACGUCCUACGGGAGAAAGCAGGGGAUCUUCGGACCUUGCGCUAAUAGAUGAGCCUAAGUCGGAUUAGCUAGUUGGUGGGGUAAAGGCCUACCAAGGCGACGAUCUGUAGCGGGUCUGAGAGGAUGAUCCGCCACACUGGGACUGAGACACGGCCCAGACUCCUACGGGAGGCAGCAGUGGGGAAUAUUGGACAAUGGGCGCAAGCCUGAUCCAGCCAUGCCGCGUGUGUGAAGAAGGCCUUAUGGUUGUAAAGCACUUUAAGCGAGGAGGAGGCUACUUUAGUUAAUACCUAGAGAUAGUGGACGUUACUCGCAGAAUAAGCACCGGCUAACUCUGUGCCAGCAGCCGCGGUAAUACAGAGGGUGCAAGCGUUAAUCGGAUUUACUGGGCGUAAAGCGCGCGUAGGCGGCUAAUUAAGUCAAAUGUGAAAUCCCCGAGCUUAACUUGGGAAUUGCAUUCGAUACUGGUAGCUAGAGUGUGGGGGGAAAGUAGUGGUUAAAAUUCCAGGUGGUAGCGGUGAAAUGGCGUAGAGAUUCUGGGAGGAAAUACCGAAUGGCCGAAAGGCAGCCAUCUGGCCUAACACUGACGCUGAGUGCGAAAGCAUGGGGAGCAAACAGGAUUAGAUACCCUGAUAGUCCAUGCCGUAAACGAUGUCUACUAGCCGUUGGGGCCUUUGAGGCUUUAGUGGCGCAGCUAACGCGAUAAGUAGACCGCCUGGGGAGUACGGUCGCAAGACUAAAACUCAAAUGAAUUGACGGGGGCCCGCACAAGCGGUGGAGCAUGUGGUUUAAUUCGAUGCAACGCGAAGAACCUUACCUGGCCUUGACAUAGUAAGAACUUUCCAGAGAUGGAUUGGUGCCUUCGGGAACUUACAUACAGGUGCUGCAUGGCUGUCGUCAGCUCGUGUCGUGAGAUGUUGGGUUAAGUCCCGCAACGAGCGCAACCCUUUUCCUUAUUUGCCAGCGAGUAAUGUCGGGAACUUUAAGGAUACUGCCAGUGACAAACUGGAGGAAGGCGGGGACGACGUCAAGUCAUCAUGGCCCUUACGGCCAGGGCUACACACGUGCUACAAUGGUCGGUACAAAGGGUUGCUACCUAGCGAUAGGAUGCUAAUCUCAAAAAGCCGAUCGUAGUCCGGAUUGGAGUCUGCAACUCGACUCCAUGAAGUCGGAAUCGCUAGUAAUCGCGGAUCAGAAUGCCGCGGUGAAUACGUUCCCGGGCCUUGUACACACCGCCCGUCACACCAUGGGAGUUUGUUGCACCAGAAGUAGCUAGCCUAACUGCAAAGAGGGCGGUUACCACGGUGUGGCCGAUGACUGGGGUGAAGUCGUAACAAGGUAGCCGUAGGGGAACCUGCGGCUGGAUCACCUCCUUUCU